rnacentral:rRNA from 1 species
GUCCACGCCCUAAACGAUGUCAACUGGUUGUUGGGAAUUCACUUUCUCAGUAACGAAGCUAACGCGUGAAGUUGACCGCCUGGGGAGUACGGCCGCAAGGUUAAAACUCAAAGGAAUUGACGGGGACCCGCACAAGCGGUGGAUGAUGUGGUUUAAUUCGAUGCAACGCGAAAAACCUUACCCACCUUUGACAUGUAUGGAAGAUCGCAGAGACGCGAUUGUGCUCGAAAGAGAGCCAUAACACAGGUGCUGCAUGGCU